rnacentral:rRNA from 1 species
GGGGGCCCAUGGCGAGCUGACGGAGCACGCCGCGUGAGUGAUGAAGGUCUUCGGAUCGUAAAACUCUGUUAUUAGGGAAGAACAUACGUGUAAGUAACUGUGCACGUCUUGACGGUACCUAAUCAGAAAGCCACGGCUAACUACGUGCCAGCAGCCGCGGUAAUACGUAGGUGGCAAGCGUUAUCCGGAAUUAUUGGGCGUAAAGCGCGCGUAGGCGGUUUUUUAAGUCUGAUGUGAAAGCCCCCGGCUCAACCGGGGAGGGUCAUUGGAAACUGGAAAACUUGAGUGCAAAAAAGGAAAGUGGAAUUCCUUGUGUAGCGGUGAAAUGCGCAAAAAUAUGGAGGAACACCAGGGGCGAAGGCAACUUUCUGGUCUGUAACUGACGCUGAUGUGCGAAAGCGUGGGGAUCAAACAGGAUUAAAUACCCUGGUAGCCCACGCCGUAAACAAUGAGUGCUAAGUGUUAGGGGGUUUCCGCCCCUUAGGGCUGCAGCUAACGCAUUAACCACUCCGCCGGGGGAGUACAACCGCAAGGUUGAAACUCAAAGGAUUUGACGGA